rnacentral:rRNA from 1 species
GACGAACGCUGGCGGCGUGCUUAACACAUGCAAGUCGAACGGAGGGGCGCGUAGCUUUUUGGUCUGAGGUGAGGGGCGGCGGGGGGAGUAAUAAGAGGAUAAUAUACUUCUACGUCUGGGUGAAUAACGGCAAGCAGGUGUGGCUACCAGAGGAUAUUUUGAACCGGUCGCUUGAUGAGUGAAAGACGGAUAUUGUUUCGCUGAUGGAUGGACUCGCGCCGUAUUAGCUGGUUGGUGAGGUAAUGGCUUACCAAGGCGGCGAUGCAUAGCCGACCUGAGAGGGUGGUCGACCACACUGGAGCUGAGACGCGGUCCAGACGCCUACGGGGGGCAGCAGUAGGGAAGAUUACGGAAUGGGCGGAAGCCUGAUGGAGCAGCGCCGCGGGAGUGAUGAUGGUCGUCGGAUCGUAGAGAUCUGUUAUUGGGGGAGAAGAUAUGUGUAAGUGUCUGUGCACGUCUUGACGGUAGCUAGUCAGAAAGCGCCGGCUAACUACGUG